rnacentral:rRNA from 1 species
UGGCUCAGAACGAACGCUGGCGGCGUACUUAACACAUGCAAGUCGAACGAGGAGCUUCGGUGUAGCAAUACAUCGGAGUUUCUAGUGGCGCACGGGUGAGUAACACGUGGGUAACCUGUCCUCGAGCUCGGGAUACCCUCUCGAAAGGGAGGCUAAUACCGGAUACGUUCCUCGGAUUGCGAAAUCUGGGGAGGAAAGGUGGCGAAAGCUACCACUCUUGGAGGGGCUCGCGGCCUAUCAGCUAGUUGGUGAGGUAAUGGCUCACCAAGGCUAGGGCAAAAAGCUGGUAUGAGAGGACGACCAGCCACUCGGGAA